CAGUAGCCGCGGUAAUACGAAGGGGGCUAGCGUUGUUCGGAAUUACUGGGCGUAAAGCGCACGUAGGCGGAUAUUUAAGUCAGGGGUGAAAUCCCGCAGCUCAACUGCGGAACUGCCUUUGAUACUGGGUAUCUUGAGUAUGGAAGAGGUUAGUGGAAUUGCGAGUGUAGAGGUGAAAUUCGUAGAUAUUCGCAGGAACACCAGUGGCGAAGGCGGCUAACUGGUCCAUAACUGACGCUGAGGUGCGAAAGCGUGGGGAGCAAACAGGAUUAGAGACCCCUGUAGUCCCUGUCUCUUAUAC
rnacentral:rRNA from 1 species